rnacentral:tRNA from 1 species
UAAGUUAAAGCUAUAUUUAGCGCUUUAUUUACACUAAUGAAAAUGUUGUUUAAUCAACAUAACUUAA